rnacentral:miRNA from 1 species
CCCCUUUCCCAUCACGGAUGAGUGGAGGUCUAUAUGUUCAUUGUAGUUAAAUUUUAUAAUAGAUAUAGUACAAUCUUAUCUUUGUAGACCUCCACUCAUCCGUGAUGGGAAAGG